rnacentral:rRNA from 1 species
CCUACGGGCGGCAGCAGUGGGGAAUAUUGGGCAAUGGGCGCAAGCCUGACCCAGCAACGCCGCGUGAAGGAAGAAGGCUUUCGGGUUGUAAACUUCUUUUCUCAGGGACGAAGCUAGUGAAGGUACCUGAGGAAUAAGCCGCGGCUAACAACGUGCCAGCAGCCGCGGUAAUACGUAGGCGGCAAGCGUUAUCCGGAUGUACUGGGUGUAAGGGGCGUGUAGUCGGGACUGCAAGUCAGAUGUGAAAACCAUGGGCUCAACCGGUGGCCUGCAUUUGAUACUGUAGUUCUUGUGUACUGGAGAGGCAGACGGAAUUCCUGGUGUAGCGGUGAAAUGCGUAGAUAUGAGGAGGAACACCAGUGGCGAAGGCGGUCUGCUGGACAGCAACUGACGCUGAGGCGCGAAAGCGUGGGGAGCAAACAGGAUUAGAUACCCUAGUAGUC